rnacentral:lncRNA from 1 species
GCCUUGUCUCACCAAUGUCGGAGGACAUCCCUGGAAGUCCAUGCAGGCAUCAUCCCCGGUGUGCAGGUGAGGACACAGACAGGCUUUGAGAGACACAAGGACUCAUCCAGGAUGGAGAACAGGUAGGAAUCGGGAGGUGAGCCUGGACCCAGGUCUGUCUCCUCAGAGCUGCACACAGACCCUGCCCGGGAGCUGUGUGGAGGGCUGUGUGGAGCAACUGUGUGAGCCCGGGCUGCGGGGAUGAGGGAUGAGCGAUCAGUACCCCGAGGGCUGUGUGCACAGGUGUCAACUGUCAGUUCAAGGAAGGGGCCCCCAGGACGUGAAGUCACUUCCUUGACAGCAGAUCCUAACAGGAUUGGGAACCUUGUAACCAGGCACCCACCUCCUAGCAACAGCGCCAUGGCCAGUUGGGGUCACUCGGCUGGAGAGACUUCAUCCAGAAGGAUGUUCUCCAGCUGUGUCUCAACUGACCAGGGCUUCUGCUUGAGGAAACCCUGGAGGGAGAGGUUUUUCAGAUGUUUCAGGCGGUUCAGCGCUCAACCCGGAUGCCUCUGGUCCUUCUAGGAGGUCACCUAAGGUAACCGCAGGCAACCUAGAGCUGGCCACACCAGGCCUGGCCGCCACUGGGAGCCCUCCCUGGGCAGCACCAGCUGCCCUCAUCUCCAUGUGGGGGGAAGUGGAACUUGAGGUGAGGUUCUCCCUCUGGGCAGGAACAGGUUGGUGGUUCCGUGGUGACCUGGUGGUCCUGUCACGGUCACACCUGAGGACAGGCUGGCAGUGGGGAAACAGGAUCCCUGAAGUGCUCUUCUCUGUGCCAGUGUGGAUCCAAGGCCCUCAAGUGGUCGGGUGUCUGCAUCCUCGGUGGAGGUCUGUGGGGAGAUGGUGGGCGUGUGUCUGGAGGGAUGUCUGGGGGUCCGAGAAGCACCACAGACAGCUGGCCGGUGCCCUGAGACUUUCUGCCUGGCUGCCGGGCACUUGUUCACAGGGCUCCUCACCAGACUGCACACAGGAGCAGAUCCAUGGAGCACCCUGCUCCAUCUCCCUGCAUGAGGGGCUGGAGCCCCACACCAGCAACAGAGCCCAGGGCGGGCACAGGGGGGAAAGUGUCCACAGGGAACAGGAAUGAGACCGGCAGGUUGUGGAGUGUCCGGAGACGCAGACUGGAGACGUUGGUGGACAACCUGGUGCCUGCAUUCCUGGGUGGUGACCCUGCCUACCUCCCCACAUUCCUGGGCACCUACAGGGCUUUUGGCACCCCCCAGCAGGUGCUGGACCUUCUCUUCACGAGGUGAGCACUUCCCCUCCCCCACUGGGUACUCGGGGAGACCUGGCCACCUUCCAGCUGUGAGUCGUAGGAAUGUCUCUCCACCUCUGUGAGCCCCAGUUGGCCCCCCCCUGCACUUGAGGGGAAAGGGAGAAGCAGCUCCCUGGGGGGUCUAAGUGGGUGCAUCCUGGAAAGUGCUUCAGUUGUAGAUCCAGAGAAAGUGCAAGAAACAGCUUUCUUCCUCCUUCAGAGCCUGAAUCACCUGGAAAUCCUGUGCAAGCGCUCUUUCUACAGUUCAGUCCCCAGGCUUAAGCCAACCUGGGCCAGGGCACUGCCUGGGCUCUGGAGCCUCUUGGUGCUUUGCAAUCAGCUGUGGCUCCGGUGUUAUCCAGCUGUGGUUCUAGAGACCCCAGCAGACCUACCUUGUGUAGCAGCUGUGGCGCUGGAGCCAGUUCCUCCAUUAACAUCCCUGGAGCCGGUCUCAGAUCAUCAGUGAGCCUUGGUAUCACCGAAUCGAUGGGCAUGAGUUUGAGUCAACUCCAGGAGUUGAUGAUGGACAGGAAGGCCUGCCGUGCUGCAAUUCAUGGGGUCGAAAAGAGUCGGACACGACUGAGCGACUGAACUGAACUGACUGAACUGAACCAGUGAUGCCAUCCAGCCAUCUCAUCCUGUGUCGUCCCCUUCUCCUCCUGCCCCCAAUCCCUCCCAGCAUCAGAGUCUUUGACCCAUGUGAAUGAGCCACCUCUUUGCAUGAAGUGGCCAAAGUACUGGAGUUUCAGCUUUAGCAUCAUUCCUUCCAAUGACCACCCAGGACUGAUCUCCUUUAGAAUGGACUGGUUGGAUCUCCUUGCAGUCCAAGGGACUCUCAAGAGUCUUCUCCAACACCACAGUUCAAAAGAAUCAAUUCUUCAGCGCUCAGCUUUCUUCACAGUCCAACUCUUACAUCCAUACAUGGCUACUGGAAAGACCAUAGCCUUGACUAGAUGGACCUUUGUGGGCAAAGUAAUGUCUCUGCUUUUUAAUAUGCUAUCUAGGUUGGUCAUAACUUUCCUUCCAAGGAGUAAGAAUCUUUUAAUUUCAUGGCUGCAAUCACCAUCUGCAGUGAUUUUGGAGCCAAAAAUAAAUAAAUAAAUAAGAAAGAAA